rnacentral:rRNA from 1 species
UGUGAACUCGAAGAGUAGGGCGGGACACGUGGUAUCCUGUCUGAAUAUGGGGGGACCAUCCUCCAAGGCUAAAUACUCCUGACUGACCGAUAGUGAACCAGUACCGUGAGGGAAAGGCGAAAAGAACCCCGGCGAGGGGAGUGAAAAAGAACCUGAAACCGUGUACGUACAAGCAGUGGGAGCACCUUCGGGUGUGACUGCGUACCUUUUGUAUAAUGGGUCAGCGACUUAUAUUCUGUAGCAAGGUUAACCGUAUAGGGGAGCCGCAGGGAAACCGAGUCUUAACUGGGCGUUAAGUUGCAGGGUAUAGACCCGAAACCCGGUGAUCUAGCCAUGGGCAGGUUGAAGGUUGGGUAACACUAACUGGAGGACCGAACCGACUAAUGUUGAAAAAUUAGCGGAUGACUUGUGGCUGGGGGUGAAAGGCCAAUCAAACCGGGAGAUAGCUGGUUCUCCCCGAAAGCUAUUUAGGUAGCGCCUCGUGAACUCAUCUUCGGGGGUAGAGCACUGUUUCGGCUAGGGGGUCAUCCCGACUUACCAACCCGAUGCAAACUACGAAUACCGAAGAAUGUUAUCACGGGAGACACACGGCGGGUGCUAACGUCCGUCGUGAAGAGGGAAACAACCCAGUGGAGGUAUCAGAAGUGCGAAUGCUGACAUAAGUAACGAUAAAGCGGGUGAAAAGCCCGCUCGCCGGAAGACCAAGGGUUCCUGUCCAACGUUAAUCGGGGCAGGGUGAGUCGACCCCUAAGGCGAGGCCGAAAGGCGUAGUCGAUGGGAAACAGGUUAAUAUUCCUGUACUUGGUGUUACUGCGAAGGGGGGACGGAGAAGGCUAUGUUAGCCGGGCGACGGUUGUCCCGGUUUAAGCAUGUAGGCUGGUUAUCCAGGCAAAUCCGGAUAACCAAGGCUGAGGUGUGAUGACGAGGCACUACGGUGCUGAAGUAACAAAUGCCCUGCUUCCAGGAAAAGCCUCUAAGCAUCAGGUAACAUCAAAUCGUACCCCAAACCGACACAGGUGGUCAGGUAGAGAAUACCAAGGCGCUUGAGAGAACUCGGGUGAAGGAACUAGGCAAAAUGGUGCCGUAACUUCGGGAGAAGGCACGCUGGUGUGUAGGUGAAGUCCCUGCGGAUGGAGCUGAGACCAGUCGAAGAUACCAGCUGGCUGCAACUGUUUAUUAAAAACACAGCACUGUGCAAACACGAAAGUGGACGUAUACGGUGUGACGCCUGCCCGGUGCCGGAAGGUUAAUUGAUGGGGUUAUCCGUAAGGAGAAGCUCUUGAUCGAAGCCCCGGUAAACGGCGGCCGUAACUAUAACGGUCCUAAGGUAGCGAAAUUCCUUGUCGGGUAAGUUCCGACCUGCACGAAUGGCGUAAUGAUGGCCAGGCUGUCUCCACCCGAGACUCAGUGAAAUUGAACUCGCUGUGAAGAUGCAGUGUACCCGCGGCAAGACGGAAAGACCCCGUGAACCUUUACUAUAGCUUGACACUGAACAUUGAGCCUUGAUGUGUAGGAUAGGUGGGAGGCUUUGAAGCGUGGACGCCAGUCUGCGUGGAGCCAACCUUGAAAUACCACCCUUUAAUGUUUGAUGUUCUAACGUUGGCCCCUGACCGGGGUUGCGGACAGUGUCUGGUGGGUAGUUUGACUGGGGCGGUCUCCUCCCAAAGCGUAACGGAGGAGCACGAAGGUUAGCUAAUCCUGGUCGGACAUCAGGAGGUUAGUGCAAUGGCAUAAGCUAGCUUGACUGCGAGCGUGACGGCGCGAGCAGGUGCGAAAGCAGGUCAUAGUGAUCCGGUGGUUCUGAAUGGAAGGGCCAUCGCUCAACGGAUAAAAGGUACUCCGGGGAUAACAGGCUGAUACCGCCCAAGAGUUCAUAUCGACGGCGGUGUUUGGCACCUCGAUGUCGGCUCAUCACAUCCUGGGGCUGAAGUAGGUCCCAAGGGUAUGGCUGUUCGCCAUUUAAAGUGGUACGCGAGCUGGGUUUAGAACGUCGUGAGACAGUUCGGUCCCUAUCUGCCGUGGGCGCUGGAGAAUUGAGGGGGGCUGCUCCUAGUACGAGAGGACCGGAGUGGACGCAUCACUGGUGUUCGGGUUGUCAUGCCAAUGGCACUGCCCGGUAGCUAAAUGCGGAAGAGAUAAGUGCUGAAAGCAUCUAAGCACGAAACUUGCCCCGAGAUGAGUUCUCCCUGAGACU